rnacentral:lncRNA from 1 species
GCUGCCCCCGCCCCCCCCCCAGCGGGCCGCGCCCUGGACGCCCGGAUCCGUGCACCUCCACAUCCCGCUCAGUCCCGCCCAUCCCCCAGCCUCGCCCUCGCAGCUGUUGCUGGGCUUGUGUGUGGAGUCGCCAUUUUGCCGGUAGAGAUGCCGUCUGGAGACCGGAGCGCUCCUCUUUCCUCGGCCUAGGCUGCUGCGGGGCCGGGGCUGGGUCCUGGGCCAGGUAGGCGGGCGUGAGCCGGCGGCGAGCAGCAGUGCGGCCUGGUGGCCCCGACGUUAGCGGCGCAUGUGUUAAAACCAGGCACAGCAUUAAUGCAUGGUAGUGACAACACAUGUCUAGCACAACCCCUCCUGAAGGCGGCUCCCCAUGGACUUGGCAAGCCUUCUGUUCUCAACAUGUGGUGCCAUCUUGGAGCGAUCACACUGAGGAAGAGCACAGAACAAGGGCAGGAGCAGGUGCUGGAUCCCACAGAGACUUUUUCUACCCUCCUUUUCCACUCCAAUCUUCUUUGGAACUUUGAAUGGAAUCACAGGAGGAGGCACUGCACGUGUAGCUGCCCAAAGUCUAGAUGUCACUGUUCUCUGCUGUCACCCAAAAGGAGUGAACAGCACCUGGACAGGAGAUGGCCCAAGGCUUACAUGUGUAUAACGUGCCACUGUCUCAGGGACUGACUCUCAGUGAACCCUGAUGUCUUGAUCCACUCAGCACACCACCAUUCAGUAUUGAAAACUGGGGUUGAGUGAGUCCCUUGUACAUGGCCAGGACCUGAAUCCGCAGGUGGUCAAGUCUCUCUGGGCUGCUAAGGUAAGAACUCACCUCAGCUUUGGUGCCUGUGGGGCUGAGAGUUCAGCCCUAGAAAAGUCCAGAGAGAAGUGGCUGGAGCUGGGGCAGCUGUCCAGGAAAGCUGGUUCCAGAGGCUUCCUCAGGCUGUGAGGCCCAUCUGCCUGCACCAGGCUUGCUAUACAGACCUCUGCCAGGUCCUCUGGUGACUGAGCUCCCAUCUGUGGUGAGAUAGUGGGGAGACAUGGAAUUGAUGUCCUGCACAUGGCAUCUCGGGGGUUUGGGGCUGAAGCAAAGCCCACACUCUAAAUGGUCCACAGGGCUUCAUGGUACAAGGCUCACAGGAGGACCCCAACAGAAAGGGGAAUUUCAUAUUGAAAGUUACAUUUCAUGAGGGACACUUAGGAAUACUAGCAUGCUCAGUUCACCUUGAUAGAGGAGAGGCUGAAUAGAACUCUAUGCGUGAACAAAACUAUGAGUAAUAAGAUGGUCCCCAUUUUAGAAAUGAGAAAAC